CACGCACGAGGGGAAGCAGUAUCCGAUUCCGAUCGAGAUGGUGGAUGGUGCGACGGAGGUGAAAAUCCGUGAUCUUCCGCCAGGAAUCCCCGACGAAAACGUUUCCGCUGAGCUGAACCGCUUCGGUGAAGUGCUCACUCCCAAGUAGCAGAGCCGAAGUUGUUCAGAGGUUUUUCUGUGUGCCAAAGCGAGAUGCCCUGUCUUCUGUCUCUAGAUUUUGGACAGCAAACCGCCGCGCGUGUAGAGGUGUGUGCGUGUGACGAAAAAUGAUGGAUGAAAAACGCGAGGAGCGGGGUCUGAAGUCUUUCAUUGGUCACACACACACAUGCAUCUACCAGCAGAUUGCGCUACACCGAGUCUACCCAUCUCUCUCGAUCUACCAUGAUUUUUUCUGCUAUCGCACUCAUCCGGGAGUUAGGCAUCCUCAGUCUGUCCAGAACUUUCGUUGUGGAAGGAUGUGCGGGAGUGAUGCGCGAUUUCUUGUGUCCCCUACUUUCCUUGUUUACGUUUUGCGCAGUGUUGCCUCUUAUUCCAUUGUGGAAUGAUUUAUCCUAGCUAACUUGUUGAGGUAAGGUUCUUGAUCUCAUAUGUGCUUCAAUGUACUAAUUCAACUAAUGCUUAUCGUCUUCAAAGUUACAGGUGCAUGCGCCAUUCUUCAACGCCUACCUGUUGGCAUCAUCAACAAUCUUCAAAGUGGGUGACGGAAAGAAAUUGUUUUCCAGUUUUAAAAUAUUAAGCGUUCAGCACAACUCAGCCACAAAACAACGCACUGGAUUGCGCUAAGAACCUGUCGAAACGCGCGCAGCCCCCGGGAGCGGUAGGAGAAAGGAAGAACUAGAGGAGGAAAAACUAAAGCCAGCACGCAGCUCUGAUGGUACCCCGUACGCGGAAGGGGGAGACCGUUCUGCCGUCUACACAGUGUGAGUAUGCCAAAGCACGUGUUGGAAGGGAGAGAAAAAGUUGGAAUAAACCGCAUGCGAAUGUGUGCAUACAGCAAAAGUAAA